UUAGGAACUGCUGCAUCCCUAGGAAAUCCCGAUCCAACAUCGAGGUCGCAAACUUUUUUAUCAAUAUGAACUCUCCAAAAAAAUUACGCUGUUAUCCCUACGGUAACUUAUUCUUUUGCUCACCUUUCCUAGUGGAUCACUUUAUAAAUAAACCUUAUAUUAUAAAAAAAUUUUUUUUCUAAUAAAUUAGCGGAGGAUUUUUAUUCUCCGCGGUUGCCCCAACCUAAGUACUAAAUGCAUACUACCCCUAUUUUACAGUAAAAUCAUACAACCAUUUUUAAUUAUUUAUUAGCAAUAAAAUAGCGUUAAUAAAUUGCACCUUAUUUCUACUAAAGCUCGAUAGGGUCUUCUCGUCCUACGACUAUAUUUCCGCUUCUUCACGGAAAUAUUAACUUCAGGAUUAUAAGAAAGAGACAGCUUAACUCCCGUCUUGCCAUUCAUACCAGCCCCCAUUUAAAAGGCAAAUGAUUAUGCUACCUUUGCACGGUCAAGAUACCGCGGCCGUUUAACUAAGUCACCGGGCAGGCAGGACUCUUUAUGUAUUAGACUCUUUACAAAGAGCGAUGUUUUUGGUAAACAGGCGAAGUUAUGAUUUGCCGAAUUCCUUUUCCUUAUUUUAUUCUUUAAUAUAUUACUUGUGUUAGUAGACAACCUGAAUAAACUAAUUUCUCGACUAUAGACUAUUACUCCAUCCAAAGUUAGGAUUG
rnacentral:rRNA from 1 species